GUAUAGUACCCGGCUAAUAACUGAAGAGCCAACCAAAGCUCAGAAGCUACCUGUUCCCAUUGCAGGUGCGGAGCCUGAAUUUCUGCAGGACAAGGACCAUCACUAAGUAGAUUCAAUCUCUUUGCACAUGGAGGGGAGUCACCAAUCGACAGGAUGGAUACAUUUCAUCACACUGACAUAUGGUUUGCUCUGUGCUUCUUGGACACUGAAGAAAACCUGUAAUUAAGAGUUGUCCAUGGCAGAGAAUCCACAUACAGGUGCAGAUCCUCAGCUAGUAUCUAUUGUCAGAACGUCAUUGAUCCUCAGCUGAUGUCCAUUGUCAUAGCUCCAUUGACUUCAGCGGAGUUAUGACCAUUCACAUCAGGUAAGGACCUGCCCCAGUGUUUCCAAAAUGCUG
rnacentral:lncRNA from 1 species